rnacentral:tRNA from 1 species
CCUGUCAUCGUCUAGUGGUUAGGACACCAGGUUUUGAAGCCGUUCAUUUCACUGGAUCCCAGUGCCCCGACUGAUCUCCUGGUAACUUGGGUUCGACUCCCAAUGACAGGU